CACGUAGGCGGAUCUUUAAGUCAGAGGUGAAAUUCCAGGGCUCAACCCUGGAACUGCCUUUGAUACUGGGGAUCUCGAGUCCGGGAGAGGUGAGUGGAACUGCGAGUGUAGAGGUGAAAUUCGUAGAUAUUCGCAAGAACACCAGUGGCGAAGGCGGCUCACUGGCCCGGAACUGACGCUGAGGUGCGAAAGCGUGGGGAGCAAACA
rnacentral:rRNA from 1 species